rnacentral:rRNA from 1 species
UGAAUACGAGAUGCUACGGCGUCGAAGCAGUGUAUGUCAGACUUCCAAGAAAAGCUCGCAAUGUCAUAAAUAAAGAAUGCCUGUACCAUAACCGACACAGGUGGGUAGGUAGAGUAUACUAAGGGGCGCGAGAUAACUCUCUCUAAGGAACUCGGCAAAAUAACUCCGUAACUUCGGGAGAAGGAGUGCCUUCUUUAAGAAGGUUGCAAUAACAAGAUCCAAGCAACUGUUUAUCAAAAACACAGGUCUCCGCUAAGUCGUAAGACGAUGUAUGGGGGCUGACGCCUGCCCAGUGCCAGAAGGUUAAAGAAGUUGGUUAGCUUUUGCGAAGCUGAUGACUGAAGCCCUGGUGAACGGCGGCCGUAACAAUAACGGUCCUAAGGUAGCGAAAUUCCUUGUCGGGUAAGUUCCGACCCGCACGAAAGGCGUAAUGAUUUGGAUACUGUCUCGGAGAGGGACUCGGUGAAAUAGACUUGUCUGUGAAGGUGCGGACUACCUGCACCAGGACAGAAAGACCCUAUGAAGCCUUACUGUAACUUGAAAUUGAAAUUGGACUUUAUUUGCGCAGUAUAGGUGGGAGGCGUUGAAAGUAAUCUUGCGGGAUUAGUGGAGCCAUCAGUGAGAUACCACUCCUAUAAUGUUAGAUUUCUAACUUUGGAUCAUGAUCUGGUCAAAGAACAGUUUCAGGCGGGCAGUUUGACUGGGGCGGUCGCCUCCCAAAUGGUAACGGAGGCGUACAAAGGUUUCCUCUGAACGGGUAGAAAUCGUAUCUAGAGUGUAAAGGCAUAAGGAAGCUUGACUGUGAGACCUACAAGUCGAGCAGGGACGAAAGUCGGUCUUAGUGAUCUGACGGUGCUGAGUGGAAAGGCCGUCACUCAACGGAUAAAAGUUACUCUAGGAUAACAGGCUGAUCUCCCCCAAGAGUUCACAUCGACGGGGAGGUCUGGCACCUCGAUGUCGGCUCAUCGCAUCCUGGGGCGGUAGUACGUCCCAAGGGUUGGGCUGUUCGCCCAUGAAAGCGGUACGCGAGCUGGGUUCAGAACGUCGUGAGACAGUUCGGUCCAUAUCCGGUGUAGGCGUUAGAAUAUUGAGAGGAGCCUUCUUUAGUACGAGAGGACCGAGAAGGACAUACCUCUGGUGUACCAGUUAUCGUGCCAACGGUAAACGCUGGGUAGCUAUGUAUGGAGAGGAUAACCGCUGAAAGCAUCUAAGUGGGAAGCCCACCUCAAGAUGAG